GCCUCCGCGUCCCGCUCGCUGAGAGAGGUAUCUCUCCUUUUCCCUCUCCCUUCCCCUAAGAGUUGUCUGCUGGUUCUCAGCUUGAAGAAGAUUCUACAGUCCUUAUUGAUCCUUUUUCUUGGCGUUACCAUUUUUGAAGCAAAGUUAACCUAGCUUUCUAGUUUGAGCUUUCUUUUUGGCCGUCUUUUAAAACAUUUUUUUUUUGAUCUAUAAAAUAGACAAGAGAUAGUUCUACAAUGUCCAAGUCAUUCCAGCAGUCAUCUCUCGGUAGGGAUUCACAGGGUCAUGGGCGUGACCUGUCUGCAGCAGGAAUAGGCCUUCUUGCUGCUGCUACCCAGUCUUUAAGUAUGCCAGCAUCUCUUGGAAGGAUGAACCAGGGUACUGCACGCCUUGCUAGCUUAAUGAAUCUUGGAAUGAGUUCUUCAUUGAAUCAACAAGGAGCUCAUAGUGCACUGUCUUCUGCUAGUACUUCUUCCCAUAAUUUGCAGUCUAUAUUUAACAUUGGAAGUAGAGGUCCACUCCCUUUGUCUUCUCAACACCGUGGAGAUACAGACCAGGCCAGUAAUAUUUUGGCCAGCUUUGGUCUGUCUGCUAGAGACUUAGAUGAACUGAGUCGUUAUCCAGAGGACAAGAUUACUCCUGAGAACUUGCCCCAAAUUCUUCUACAGCUUAAAAGGAGGAGAACUGAAGAAGGCCCUACAUUGAGUUAUGGUAGAGAUGGCAGAUCUGCUACACGGGAGCCACCAUACAGAGUACCUAGGGAUGAUUGGGAAGAAAAAAGGCAUUUUAGAAGAGAUAGUUUUGAUGAUCGUGGUCCUAGUCUCAACCCAGUGCUUGAUUAUGACCAUGGAAGUCGUUCUCAAGAAUCUGGUUAUUAUGACAGAAUGGAUUAUGAAGAUGACAGAUUAAGAGAUGGAGAAAGGUGUAGGGAUGAUUCUUUUUUUGGUGAGACCUCGCAUAACUAUCAUAAAUUUGACAGUGAGUAUGAGAGAAUGGGACGUGGUCCUGGCCCCUUACAAGAGAGAUCUCUCUUUGAGAAAAAGAGGGGCGCUCCUCCAAGUAGCAAUAUUGAAGACUUCCAUGGACUCUUACCGAAGGGUUAUCCCCAUCUGUGCUCUAUAUGUGAUUUGCCAGUUCAUUCUAAUAAGGAGUGGAGUCAACAUAUCAAUGGAGCAAGUCACAGUCGUCGAUGCCAGCUUCUUCUUGAAAUCUACCCAGAAUGGAAUCCUGACAAUGAUACUGGACACACAAUGGGUGAUCCAUUCAUGCUGCAGCAGUCAACAAACCCAGCACCGGGAAUUCUGGGACCGCCACCUCCUUCAUUUCAUCUUGGAGGACCAGCAGUUGGACCAAGAGGAAAUCUGGGUGCUGGUAAUGGGAACCUACAGGGACCAAGACACAUGCAAAAAGGCAGAGUGGAAACCAGCCGAGUUGUUCACAUUAUGGAUUUUCAGCGAGGAAAAAACUUGAGAUACCAGCUAUUACAACUGGUAGAACCAUUUGGAGUCAUUUCAAAUCAUCUGAUUCUAAAUAAAAUUAAUGAGGCAUUUAUUGAAAUGGCGACCACAGAAGAUGCUCAGGCUGCUGUGGAUUAUUAUACAACUACACCAGCAUUAGUGUUUGGCAAGCCAGUGAGAGUUCAUUUAUCCCAGAAGUAUAAGAGAAUAAAGAAACCUGAAG
rnacentral:lncRNA from 1 species